rnacentral:rRNA from 1 species
UGAGUAACACGUAUCCAACCUGCCGUCUACUCUUGACAGCUCUGAAAGGAAGAUUAAUACAAGAUGGCAUCAUGAGUCCGCAUGUUCACAUGAUUAAAGGUAUUCCGGUAGACGAUGGGGAUGCGUUCCAUUAGAUAGUAGGCGGGGUAACGGCCCACCUAGUCUUCGAUGGAUAGGGGUUCUGAGAGGAAGGUCCCCCACAUUGGAACUGAGACACGGUCCAA